UACGGAGGAUGCGAGCGUUAUCCGGAUUUAUUGGACGUAAAGCGAGCGCAGGUGGUUUAUUAAGUCUGGUGUAAAAGGCAGUGGCUCAACCAUUGUAUGCAUUGGAAACUGGUAGACUUGAGUGCAGGAGAGGAGAGUGGAAUUCCAUGUGUAGCGGUGAAAUGCGUAGAUAUAUGGAGGAACACCGGUGGCGAAAGCGGCUCUCUGGCCUGUAACUGACACUGAGGCUCGAAAGCGUGGGGAGCAAACAGG
rnacentral:rRNA from 1 species